GAUGAACGCUGGCGGCAGGCCUAACACAUGCAAGUCGAGCGGCAGCGCAGCAGUAGCAAUACUGUGGGCGGCGAGCGGCGGACGGGUGAGGAACACAUCGGAAUCUACCUUGUCGUGGGGGAUAACGUAGGGAAACUUACGCUAAUACCGCAUACGACCUACGGGUGAAAGCGGCGGACCGCAAGGCGUCGCGCGAUUGGAUGAGCCGAUGUCCGAUUAGCUAGUUGGCGGGGUAAAGGCCCACCAAGGCGACGAUCGGUAGCUGGUCUGAGAGGACGACCAGCCACACUGGAACUGGGACACGGUCCAGACUCCUACGGGAGGCAGCAGUGGGGAAUAUUGGACAAUGGGCGCAAGCCUGAUCCAGCCAUGCCGCGUGGGUGAAGAAGGCCUUCGGGUUGUAAAGCCCUUUUGUCCGGAAAGAAAACCUGUCGGUUAAUACCCGGCGGGGAUGACGGUACCGGAAGAAUAAGCACCGGCUAACUUCGUGCCAGCAGCCGCAGUAACAC
rnacentral:rRNA from 1 species